UACGGGGGGGGGCAAGCGUUGUUCGGAAUUACUGGGCGUAAAGGGCUCGUAGGCGGCCAACUAAGUCAGACGUGAAAUCCCUCGGCUUAACCGGGGAACUGCAUCUGAUACUGGAUGGCUUGAGAUUGGGAGAGGGAUGCGGAAUUCCAGGUGUAGCGGUGAAAUGCGUAGAUAUCUGGAGGAACACCGGUGGCGAAGGCGGUUCUCUGGGCCUUACCUGACGCUGAGGAGCGAAAGCAUGGGGAGCAAACAGG
rnacentral:rRNA from 1 species